rnacentral:rRNA from 1 species
UACAGAGGGUGCGAGCGUUGUCCGGAAUCACUGGGCGUAAAGGGCGCGUAGGCGGCUUGAUAAGGUUGCGGUGAAAGCCCGGGGCUCAACCCCGGGUCGGCCGUGGCAACUGUCGAGCUGGAGCACUGUAGAGGCAGGUGGAAUUCCGGGUGUAGCGGUGGAAUGCGUAGAGAUCCGGAAGAACACCGGUGGCGAAGGCGGCCUGCUGGGCAGUGGCUGACGCUGAGGCGAGACAGCGUGGGGAGCAAACAGG